rnacentral:tRNA from 1 species
AAAUGGCUUGCGCGUAGAAGCCAAGAUCAAAUUAAUCGAGUUAAAGGUGUCAACAGUCAAGGAGAGGCGAUUUUAUU